ensembl:lncRNA
GGCUAUGUCUCUCUCCCUGUGGCAUAGCUAGGUCUCUCUCCCUGUGGCAUGGCUAUAUUUUUCUCCCUGUGGUAUAGCUAGGUCUCUCUCCCUGUGGCAUAGCUAGGUCUCUCUCUCUCUCCCUUUGGCAUAGCUAGGUCUCUCCCUGUGGCAUAGCUAGGUCUCUCCCUCUCCCUGUGUAUAGCUAUGUCUCUCUCCCUGUGGCAUAGCUAUGUCUAUCUCCCUGUGGAAUAACUAUGUCUCUCUCCCUGUGGAAUAGCUAGGUCUCUCUCUCCCUGUGGCAUAGCUAUGUCUAUCUCCCUGUGGAAUAACUAUGUCUCUCUCCCUGUGGAUAGCUAGGUCUCUCUCUCCCUGUGGCAUAGCUAGGUCUCUCUCUCUCCCUGUGGAAUAGCUAGGUCUCUCUCUCUCCCUGUGGAAUAGCUAGGUCUCUCUCUCUCCCUGUGGCAUAGCUAGGUCUCUCCCCCUCCCUGUGGCAUAGCUAUGUCUCUC